rnacentral:rRNA from 1 species
AGUGAACGCUGGCGGUAGGCCUAACACAUGCAAGUCGAACGGCAGCACAGUAAGAGCUUGCUCUUACGGGUGGCGAGUGGCGGACGGGUGAGGAAUACAUCGGAAUCUACUUUUUCGUGGGGGAUAACGAAGGGAAACUUACGCUAAUACCGCAUACGACCUACGGGUGAAAGCAGGGGAUCUUCGGACCUUGCGCGAUUGAAUGAGCCGAUGUCGGAUUAGCUAGUUGGCGGGGUAAAGGCCCACCAAGGCGACGAUCCGUAGCUGGUCUGAGAGGAUGAUCAGCCACACUGGAACUGAGACACGGUCCAGACUCCUACGGGAGGCAGCAGUGGGGAAUAUUGGACAAUGGGCGCAAGCCUGAUCCAGCCAUACCGCGGGUGAAGAAGGCCUUCGGGUUGUAAAGCCCUUUUGUUGGGAAAGAAAAGCAGCAGGUUAAUACCCCGCUGUUCUGACGGUACCCAAAGAAUAAGCACCGGCUAACUUCGUG